rnacentral:tRNA from 1 species
GCCCGCCUAGCUCAAUCGGCUAGAGCGUCAGACUUUUACGGACAUAUCUCCUCGUGGGAAAGUUCAUCUGAAGGCUGCGAGUUCGACCCUCGCGGUGGGCU